rnacentral:lncRNA from 1 species
AGAAGCCAGCUGAGUUGCUGCCUGGAUUCUGUAAUGAUGGCAACAUUAUAAAUACCUCUAGUAGAUGCAAAAAUACUUACCUGUAGGAAAGUUGCUCCCAGCAAUGUAUCUUGACUGUGCCCUUCUCUCUGCUCCUUAGGAGAUGCCAGGGAGCCUCAAGGCCCCCCACUGCCCCAUGGGGUACAGCAGACUACUGCAGGAGUGCAGCAUGAGUUAAAUACAAGGGCCCGAACAGUCUCAGAGAGCUCUACCAUCUCCCUGGAAGAAGACAUUCAGCCGUGCUUGGAAAGCGUGGCUGAGGAUGUCACCGAAGAGCAGUCAUCGACGGAGGAGGAGAAGCCAGAUGAAGYUGAGGUGAGUACUCUGCAGCUGAUGUAAAGACAGGUGCUCUUAGCUUGUCCUGAAUCCUGCUGUUCCUGAGGCUGAGCUGUUGUACCUCCAUCCUGGCCUGCCUCGYGUAACCACCCAGUGCUGUCCCUGACUGC